CUGUGGUAAAAUUUAACUGGUAGAGUGGAGCUGACCCCUUAAUUUUUAUGACAAUUAAUUCAUUCCCUCUCAUUCAUUGAACCAAUAGCAAAGGCUGCCAUAGCAACUCUGACAUUGGAAACAUUAUGCCUUAUCAUAAAAACAUCGUAAACCCCACUCCAAGGAAAUUAAAUAAAAUCUCACUUUUCAUUACAAUUUUGCCAUUUCCUUCCUUGUAUACUGUUCAUAAUUUCAGGUUAGCUGAAUCAGUAUACACCUACCACUGGACUCUGAUAGCAACUCAUAACUGCUUGGACCAGCUCCUUCCAACUUCUCCUUUUCGUGUAACCUUCGUUCUUUCCUAAUUUAAUUUUCCAAGUUCUCUUCAUCAGCUCUUCAGCAAUGAUCAGUAGAAGCUCAAGAUCACCAGCUAUAACGAGUUGGCCAGCUAUAUCUAGCUUAUACAAAAGUUUGAUGUUCAGGUGUUAUUUCUCAAGGUCGGCCUUUAUUAUGGUUGUCUUCACGGCGUCUCUUCUUGUCAUGCCGCCACUCUUGCCACCGUUACCACCGCCGCCAACGGUUCUUCUAUUUGUGCCAGUAAUCAUCAUGUCCUUUCUGGUUUUUAUGGCCUUCAUUCCAUCGCAAAUGCCUGAGUUUUCUCCUUGAGAUCCCUUUGCUCUUGUCUCUUACUGUUUGUUGUCUCUAUUUUCCAUGUUUAUAAGAGAUUGUAUGAAAAAUGAGUAUAAGUUGAAGGUUUUAGAUUUCUGAUAUAUAGAUUGUUAGCUACGGUAGCUUUAUGGUGGAGUAAAUGGAACAAAAGCCAAGGCAGAUCAGUGCGAUCACAAUGUAUAUGAAUAUCG
rnacentral:lncRNA from 1 species